GAACGCACCGCAGCACCGUUCUCCGAUGCAAAGAGGGCUGUAUCGAUGUAUUUACAUGUAUUUUACCCCUUUUUACUUCACCUCAUACUUGCUCCCGAAUGCUGAUACUAUGUGGGAAUGCAUAAAGGCGGCGUGAAAUGAGGGUGAGGAGGAAGAUUGGAGAGGCAUUCUGGCGGUGACAUUUGACAAAGGUCACGGAUGAGAUUCAAACCUGCGCAACGCCGGCCCCCCGACCCACAGGUGGAGGUGAUGGGUUUUUUUUUUUCUGAAGCAUCCUUUAAUCAUGGUUAAAGUGGAUGGACAGGAAGCCAGGGAGGGACAUAAGAUGUUUUAGCAGAUCUCCUCUGGUCCACAUCAGUGGUCCCGGCAUCCGACGUUCCUGCAAACUCCGGAACCCAGAUAAAGAGAGACUGGCGCCUGUUUGCAUAGCAGUGGACUUUCACACUGACGAGAACAAGUCAACUAAAUAAUCGACAACAAUGCCAGCAGAAGCGCUUACAGCCCUUCCUGUCCCGCUGGUAUGCUAAGACAUCACUAAAUAUUAAGAGCGCGGUGGCAAGCCAUGCGGAAACAUGGAUGCUCGUUUUAGCCCUUCGACAGGGUGGGAACCAUUUUUUUAAGAGAAUGUUGAGAAUGGAGCCAGGUCAAAGAAUUUGGUGAACCUUAAACAUUUAAAACAUGAAAUAGUUUUUAAUGAGUGGAACCUUGACUAGUGUAUUUUUUCGGUGUUGAUUUGCAAUAUGUCACACUUAAAUGUUUCCGAUCAUCAAACAAAUGUGAAAUAUUAGCCAACGACAACCUAAUAACUAAGUUGUUGGGUGAUCCUUAGUGGCAACAUCUGCAAUCAAGUGUUUGUGAUAACUUGCAAUGAGUCUUUUAGAGCGCUGUGUGUGUGGCAAACAUGCACCAAAUUUUUUAAUUCAUAUUUAUUUUAUUUUGUAUUCAAACCUUUUUGGGUGUCUGGAAUGGAUUAUUUGAAUGUACAAUAUUUCUAAUGUAGAGCAUGUUGUGGUUGUAUUACAAAA